GCUAUUCUUUCUUUUUUUACCACAGACAACUUUAUAUUGAGCUGUGAUUUCUCAGGUCUUGUUGGUCAGUACACCUCAAUAUCGUCUCCUUAGGUCAGGAUUCCUCAGGCUGGCUCCCCUUAAGCCAACUAAGAAAGCUAGGAAAUCCAACCAGAUUAAUAAUAAAACAUCCUGUUGGUGUUCAAACUCCCCCAAACCCCGGGUCAAGCUGAUUGUGGGUCAUGAAGUUUCUGCAGCGUCCCUGGGAAGCCAGAGGACCGGCUGAGUCACGCCAACCCAACGGGAACAUGCACAUCACAUGGAGUCCACGCAGGACUCCACGGCCCUCCCCAAAGCCCUGUCCCGUGCUGAGGUGGACGCUUCCUCAGAUCCCCGGCAAUUCAACAAGAGCCACAGCAAACAGACACAAACGCACGUCUGGCCAGUGAGCUUGCUCGCCUGACUCCACAGCCGCUUUGACUUUGAGACCCCCCACAGGGUAACAGGAAGGCAGUGGUCACUGUCUCCAGGUGGCUAGAGCGAGGCUCAGCAAGCCCCUCGGCAGGAGGUGGUUUCUCCAGAACCUGCACAGGCUGGUCGAUCACUGUUCUGUCUCUUGGGCCUACCCAGACCAGGCCAGCCGUGACCUCUGAGUGGCCUGUGGCAGACCGGGGUGUGCCGGGCGAUUUGCACACUCACUGGCUGCAGAACGGCUCUCUUCGAGGGAGGAACAGAUGUUUUUUCCUUCUGCAACUGAAUCAUGUGUGAACGAUGCCCUAUGUGAAGGCGCUUGUGCUCCAGGCCCUUCUGUGACCAUCCACGGGGGACCCUUCCAUUCCAGGAAGAGGGGCAAGACCUGGGGACCACCUCUGUCACCUGGGAGCAUGAUCAGGCAGCCUGGUUUUUCUCAAGCUCGGUUUCUGAGCAGUUUUGAUGGGAACCUGAUCCCUCCUCUCCCUUCUUCAAGUCCCCUUCCUCACCGGCCUGGACUGGAGAGCUGAGCUCUUUCUUGUGCGGGGAGGAUGUCGGACGGAGACAAACUCCACUCUGACACAUUGCAGCAAAUUUGAAUAAUUUAUUGUGACAAGGAGCGGCGCCCUCCUCCUUUGAGUUUAGCUGGGAAACUCUGAGAUUCCCGAGCCUUGGCUACACUGCAGCGCAGGGGUCCAGGCUGCCCCUGCUUGGUGUGAGAUCCUGCAGGAAGCUGGAUCCUCCCUCUAGGAGGGCUUUGCCCCCUCCUGUUGGCUCCCCCACUAGAAAGGUGCAAAGGUCACACACUGCCAGCUCAGCAUGUCCUGCCAGGCCAGGCCAGUGCAAAGUCCACCUUCACCCUGGCUGGGCCAUGUCCUGAGGCCCAGUGAGCAUCACCAGUCUCCACAGCGAUGAGGCUGAGGGCAGCCCGCCCUCGUGGAGAGAUCUGCCGUGAGGGGUCUUCUCUCUGCAGACUGAGCCCUCCCUGCCUGUGUGGCCCAGGCCUGUCAGGAGGGACGCUCCCAGCCUAUGGUGCCGCAGCCCACAACCCCUGACUCCUGACUCUGCCCCCUCGCUGUCUGCAGCAUCACCUGCUUGGCAGCUGGGUGUGGGUGGUGGCUCUGGGUGAGCUGGGCUGGCCCUGCUGUUGGGUGUGGCCACAGGUGGGGAGCUCCGGGUGCCUCUCACCCUCCUUGAACCAAAGUCUCCUCAAAGUCAAUCGCAGAAGAAUGAGAUCAGGUAAAGCUGCCGAUGCUGGCCGGAGCGAGUCCCCUGACCAGUCUCAAGACCUGUGGGCAGAAAAGGAGCUGGAGGCACUCGCUGACCCCCCCGCAUUCCGCUGGUGCGUCCAUUGCAAUAUUGUAGGGGCCCUUGGCCUCUGAGACCCAUGGAAAUGACCUGGGCGAGCCCUGGUUCUGCUGCACAAAGACACGCUCAGAAAGAUUGGCUUCAGCUGGCCCGCCGAGGGUAAAGCACCCCAGAUCACAGCACAAACACACAUGCACAGACAAUCACCUGCAUGUUGAAGAGACACCUUCCACAUCUGAGGGGGAGCUUGUGCUGCGUGAUACUCCAUGAGAAAGCGCUACCAAACCCACAGGUGCUGGAGUCAUGCUCGAUUCUGCUCAGUUGAAAUCGCAAUGAAAACUUAAUUUUGCUCUAGAUGUGAGAGAAUAAACUGACUCUCAUGCCCUCCUACAUUCUGAAAGAUAGUUCCUGAAACCAGGCUUCAUGUCGCUGUUGAUUUUGGAUCCUGGAGCCCUGUUUGCUUUGGAUCUUUAGGUGGAUCUACUUUAAGUGAAUAAUGAAGACUUUCUGAAUAGAGGUCAGAGAUUAGGCUCUGAGACAAGGAUACCUGGGUCCCGGUUCCCACCUCCUGUGAUAGCUGUGUGAUUGGGGGUGUGCUACUUCACCCCUCUCUGGCUCUUUCCUCGUCCGUCCACUGCUCCUUGAAGGGAAUGCAUUAGAUCAGGUUUUCAGAGCAAGCACAACACUUAGCCUGCAUCAUCACUCAACAAAUGACGGCUAUCAAGAUGAUUAGCCCAUUCACCUCUGCAGCUUAACCUGUGCUCUGUGCUAUUUUAUGUAUUAUUUCAGAAGAGCUAAUUGAAGUAAGUUCACAAGAUUAAGCAAACAAGAAGAAUCAAAGCUGCCCAUAUAUUUGGAGAAAAAAUUUUGCCUGCUUUUCUGCAACUUUCUAGAUACAGCAUUUAAAAGGAAAAUAUAAACAAAUAAUGCUAUUUAUGCAAAAAUUAACCAGCACUGAUGGGCUAUAAUUAAACUCACACAGCUCCCAAGCAUCUGGGGCAAGACUCGGGGGUGCUUUGAGAAACAUGAAGUACUAUGAAAGACAUACCCUCCUGGCCACCUGCACACACACCAAUACAGGAAGGGCACAGGAGCUGCCCCAGGUGAAGAGAUGCCGCUCUAGAGAAGCAGGAGGGUAAGAAGGAGAACAGACAGAGGGCAGAGGAGGGGCUCACUGGUUUUAAAACUCUCUUUUUCAAAGGUAUCAGGAUCCAUUCUGUAUUCUGUGGCAUUGAAAUUCAAAUAAAUCAGUCUAAGUACAAAAGUUAAUUAUGUGAGCAGGUGACUGCAAAGCUUUCAGGGACAUAAAUGUGUUUAUAGGUCCUGCCACAGAGAAGUGCCCAAGAAGACACACUCCAUGUGCCCUCAGUUCAGCAGGGUAUGAAGUGCCUGGCAGCCUGUUGCAGGUGAAGAGCCCUGUGGGUGGAGGACACGAGAUGCAGG
rnacentral:lncRNA from 1 species